ensembl:snoRNA SNORD116 Small nucleolar RNA SNORD116
AGACUGAUGAUGACUCCCUCAUAUGCAUUCCUUGGAAAACCUGAACAAAUCAGUGAGAACUUCCUAUGAUUAAGAAAAAACAGUAACAAAAAACU